CUUAAAAGCAUUGUCAAUAGGUAUACAGCCUCUCUAGCCAGCUACAAUUCAAAGGCAGAAGGAGUGGAACCUUUUCAGCAGAUGGGAUGGUUAUCAGCACAACAGCAGCAUCAUGAGCUCAUCUCUUUAUUUUCAGCAGAAUCCAGGAGGCACCACUGAUCGCGAGAACCUUCCCUAGUCUACCACAUGUGCCUGAGCGCCAUCACUGUACGUGAACACUCACCCUCCUGACUUACUCCUCCAUGGUCACCUUAACAGGACCCUGCACACCCUCCCCCUGCUGGCCUCUGUCCCUCCCCCAGCACUUCAGUGCUGCCGACUUCUUCAUUCUCUCCCCUUGUGGUGCAACUUCUGAUGUCCAGUCUCCUAAGUGGAUUAUCAGAUGGAGUAGAGAAGAAGGAGAGGCUAAAUUUUGUUUCUGGAGAAUAAGUGGAAAGGGCAGAGGGGUCUCCACCAUUGCAUGACUUCCG
rnacentral:lncRNA from 1 species